CUACGGGUUGCAGCAGUGAGGAAUAUUGCACAAUGGGGGGAACCCUGAUGCAGCAACGCCGCGUGGAGGAUGACGCAUUUCGGUGUGUAAACUCCUUUUAUAUGUCAAGAAAAUCACGGUAGCAUAUGAAUAAGCACCGGCUAACUCCGUGCCAGCAGCCGCGGUAAUACGGAGGGUGCAAGCGUUACUCGGAAUCACUGGGCGUAAAGGACGCGUAGGCGGGUUGGAAAGUCAGGUGUGAAAUCCUACAGCUUAACUGUAGAACUGCACUUGAAACUUCUAAUCUAGAGUAUGGGAGGGGGAGAUGGAAUUAGUGGUGUAGGGGUAAAAUCCGUAGGUAUCACUAGGAAUACCUAAAGCGAAGGCGAUCUCCUGGAACAUUACUGACGCUAAGGCGUGAAAGCGUGGGGAGCAAACAGGAUUAGAUACCCUCGUAGUC
rnacentral:rRNA from 1 species